rnacentral:rRNA from 1 species
UACAGAGGGUGCAAGCGUUGUUCGGAAUUAUUGGGCGUAAAGCGCGUGUAGGCGGCUUUGCAAGUCGGGUGUGAAAGCCCUCAGCUCAACUGAGGAAGUGCGCCCGAAACUGCAGAGCUUGAGUACCGGAGAGGAUGGCGGAAUUCCCCAAGUAGAGGUGAAAUUCGUAGAUAUGGGGAGGAACACCUGCGGCGAAGGCGGGUAGCUGGGCCGACACUGACGCUGAUGCGCGAAAGCCAGGGGAGCGAACGGG